GACGAACGCUGGCGGCGUGCUUAACACAUGCAAGUCGAACGGAAAGGCCCUGCUUGCAGGGUACUCGAGUGGCGAACGGGUGAGUAACACGUGGGUGAUCUGCCCUGCACUUCGGGAUAAGCCUGGGAAACUGGGUCUAAUACCGGAUAGGAGCCAUUUUUAGUGUGAUGGUUGGAAAGUUUUUUCGGUGUAGGAUGAGCUUGCGGCCUAUCAGCUUGUUGGUGGGGUAAUGGCCUACCAAGGCGGCGACGGGUAGCCGGCCUGAGAGGGUGGACGGCCACAUUGGGACUGAGAUACGGCCCAGACUCCUACGGGAGGUAGCAGUGGGGAAUAUUGCACAAUGGGCGCAAGCCUGAUGCAGCGACGCCGCGUGGGGGAUGACGGCCUUCGGGUUGUAAACUCCUUUCGCUAGGGACGAAGCUUUUUGUGACGGUACCUAGAUAAGAAGCACCGGCUAACUACGUG
rnacentral:rRNA from 1 species